rnacentral:rRNA from 1 species
AUGAACGCUGGCGGCGUGCCUAAUCCAUGCAAGUCGAGCGAACGGACGAGAAGCUUGCUUCUCUGAUGUUAGCGGCGGACGGGUGAGUAACACGUGGAUAACCUACCUAUAAGACUGGGAUAACUUCGGGAAACCGUAGCUAAUACCGGAUAAUAUUUUGAACCGCAUGGUUCAAAAGUGAAAGACGGUCUUGCUGUCACUUAUAGAUGGAUCCGCGCUGCAUUAGCUAGUUGGUAAGGUAACGGCUUACCAAGGCAACGAUGCAUAGCCGACCUGAGAGGGUGAUCGGCCACACUGGAACUGAGACACGGUCCAGACUCCUACGGGAGGCAGCAGUAGGGAAUCUUCCGCAAUGGGCGAAAGCCUGACGGAGCAACGCCGCGUGAGUGAUGAAGGUCUUCGGAUCGUAAAACUCUGUUAUUAGGGAAGAACAUAUGUGUAAGUAACUGUGCACAUCUUGACGGUACCUAAUCAGAAAGUCACGGCUAACUACGUG